rnacentral:rRNA from 1 species
UUCGCCCUUAGAGUUUGAUCCUGGCUCAGGACGAACGCUGGCGGCGCGCCUAACACAUGCAAGUCGAACGAGAGAGAGGGAGCUUGCUUCCUCAAUCGAGUGGCGAACGGGUGAGUAACGCGUGAGGAACCUGCCUCAAAGAGGGGGACAACAGUUGGAAACGACUGCUAAUACCGCAUAAGCCCACGACCCGGCAUCGGGAAGAGGGAAAAGGAGCAAUCCGCUUUGAGAUGGCCUCGCGUUCGAUUAGCUAGUUGGUGAGGUAACGGCCCACCAAGGCAACGAUCGGUAGCCGGACUGAGAGGUUGAACGGCCACAUUGGGACUGAGACACGGCCCAGACUCCUACGGGAGGCAGCAGUGGGGAAUAUUGCACAAUGGGGGAAACCCUGAUGCAGCGACGCCGCGUGGAGGAAGAAGGUCUUCGGAUUGUAAACUCCUGUUGUUGAGGAAGAUAAUGACGGUACUCAACAAGGAAGUGACGGCUAACUACGUGCCAGCAGCCGCGGUAAAACGUAGGUCACAAGCGUUGUCCGGAAUUACUGGGUGUAAAGGGAGCGCAGGCGGGAAGACAAGUUGGAAGUGAAAUCCAUGGGCUCAACCCAUGAACUGCUUUCAAAACUGUUUUUCUUGAGUAGUGCAGAGGUAGGCGGAAUUCCCGGUGUAGCGGUGGAAUGCGUAGAUAUCGGGAGGAACACCAGUGGCGAAGGCGGCCUACUGGGCACCAACUGACGCUGAGGCUCGAAAGUGUGGGUAGCAAACAGGAUUAGAUACCCUGGUAGUCCACACUGUAAACGAUGAUUAUUAGGGGGUGGAAGGAUUGACCCUUUCAGUGCCGCAGUUAACACAAUAAGUAAUCCACCUGGGGAGUACGACCGCAAGGUUGAAACUCAAAGGAAUUGACGGGGGGCCCGCACAAGCAGUGGAGUAUGUGGUUUAAUUCGACGCAACGCGAAGAACCUUACCAAGUCUUGACAUCCUGCGACGCACAUAGAAAUAUGUGUUUCCUUCGGGACGCAGAGACAGGUGGUGCAUGGUUGUCGUCAGCUCGUGUCGUGAGAUGUUGGGUUAAGUCCCGCAACGAGCGCAACCCUUAUGGUCAGUUACUACGCAAGAGGACUCUGGCCAGACUGCCGUUGACAAAACGGAGGAAGGUGGGGAUGACGUCAAAUCAUCAUGCCCUUUAUGACUUGGGCUACACACGUACUACAAUGGCGUUAAACAAAGAGAAGCAAGACCGCGAGGUGGAGCAAAACUCAGAAACAACGUCCCAGUUCGGACUGCAGGCUGCAACUCGCCUGCACGAAGUCGGAAUUGCUAGUAAUCGCAGAUCAGCAUGCUGCGGUGAAUACGUUCCCGGGCCUUGUACACACCGCCCGUCA